GGGGAAUCUUCCGCAAUGGACGAAAGUCUGAUGGAGCAACGCCGCGUGAGUGAUGACGGCCUUCGGGUUGUAAAGCUCUGUUAAUCGGGACGAAAGGCCUUCUUGCGAACAGUUAGAAGGAUUGACGGUACCGGAAUAGAAAGCCACGGCUAACUACGUGCCAGCAGCCGCGGUAAUACGUAGGUGGCAAGCGUUGUCCGGAAUUAUUGGGCGUAAAGCGCGCGCAGGCGGAUCAGUUAGUCUGUCUUAAAAGUUCGGGGCUUAACCCCGUGAUGGGAUGGAAACUGCUGAUCUAGAGUAUCGGAGAGGAAAGUGGAAUUCCUAGUGUAGCGGUGAAAUGCGUAGAUAUUAGGAAGAACACCAGUGGCGAAGGCGACUUUCUGGACGAAAACUGACGCUGAGGCGCGAAAGCCAGGGGAGCGAACGGGAUUAGAUACCCCGGUAGUCCUGGCCGUAAACGAUGGGUACUAGGUGUAGGAGGUAUCGACCCCUUCUGUGCCGGAGUUAACGCAAUAAGUACCCCGCCUGGGGAGUACGACCGCAAGGUUG
rnacentral:rRNA from 1 species